rnacentral:rRNA from 1 species
UACGUAGGGAGCAAGCGUUGUCCGGAAUCAUUGGGCGUAAAGCGCGCGUAGGCGGCUCGAUCAGUCUGUUGUGAAAGUCAAAAGGCUCAACCUUUGAAUGCCGAUGGAUACUGUCGAGCUAGAGUCCGGAAGAGGCGGGUGGAAUUCCUGGUGUAGCGGUGGAAUGCGCAGAUAUCAGGAGGAACACCAACGGCGAAGGCAGCCCGCUGGGACGGUACUGACGCUAAGGCGCGAAAGCGUGGGGAGCGAACAGG